UUUUAAGUUCACUGGAGGUUGCCUCACACC
rnacentral:piRNA from 1 species